rnacentral:lncRNA from 1 species
GCAACCUACCACAAGUUACUUAAACACACUCAAAUACAAUUGCAACUAUACCAGAAGCUACAAAUCCUAUUCAGCAAUCGAAAGUAAACAACAAACAACUACCCAGAAUAACCUCAAACACCUUUAGAUGCCAUAUACGCUCAGGUAUAUAACAAAAACUGAGAAAUCUGAGCUACUAAUCAUCUCGACUGAGUUAACUAGUGAGAUUAGAAGCUGAAAUGGGAAAAUUACCCAAGGAAAAACAAUGAAACAUUUUUUUUACAAUAUUUGCUUUUGUUUUUGAAUUCAGUAGAAUCUAAGAUUUGGGAGAUGGUUUAUUGAUCUGAGAUUUGAAUUUUUAGAUUUAGAACUUGAAGAGUAAUUUCGGGAGAAAUUCUAGGCUCCGAACUAAUGUGUUAAGGCAUG